rnacentral:rRNA from 1 species
CCUACGGGUGGCAGCAGUGGGGGAUAUUGCACAAUGGGGGAAACCCUGAUGCAGCAACGCCGCGUGAGUGAAGAAGUAUUUCGGUAUGUAAAGCUCUAUCAGCAGGGAAGAGAAUGACGGUACCUGACUAAGAAGCCCCGGCUAACUACGUGCCAGCAGCCGCGGUAAUACGUAGGGGGCGAGCGUUAUCCGGAUGUACGGGGUGUAAAGGGAGCGUAGACGGCUGGGCAAGUCUGAAGGGAAAGCCCCGGGCUUAACCCCGGAACGGCUUUUGAAACUGGGCAUCUAGAGUGCUGGAUAGGUAAGCGGAAUUCCUAGUGUAGCGGUGAAAUGCGUAGAUAUUAGGAGGAACACCAGUGGCGAAGGCGGCUUACUGGACAGUAACUGACGUUGAGGCUCGAAAGCGUGGGGAGCAAACAGGAUUAGAUACCCUAGUAGUC